rnacentral:lncRNA from 1 species
GCUGGUUAGGGGUUUUGUAGGGUGCCGUUCAUAAGGAGUUUUUUUAUUGGGAAAGGAAUGGGUAGGUGUAGGAAAAUAUUUCAGAGUUCUAGCAUAAGCUGCUAAGGUAUUUAUCUGGCUAGUCGAUAGGUUUUUGAGCGAGUUUAGGGCUCAUGCAUCGUAAUUGAGUUAACCAACUCUUCCUUCAGUCUACUUAGAAAGUAUGAUAUAGCUUGAUCUACUAACAAAUUACAUUGUGAAACUAGCCUAUCAAAAGCAAACUGAAAUUUCCUCACAGAACCAGUUUGUCUCAGUUGUUUUAACUUAAGCAUGGGAUUUGCAAACUCAUCCCCAAAUGUUUCAACCUACAUAGCCAAUUAUUCCUCCCACUCAGGUAGCCC